rnacentral:rRNA from 1 species
AAAUUGAAGAGUUUGAUCAUGGCUCAGAUUGAACGCUGGCGGCAGGCCUAACACAUGCAAGUCGAACGGUAGCACAGAGAGCUUGCUCUCGGGUGACGAGUGGCGGACGGGUGAGUAAUGUCUGGGAAACUGCCUGAUGGAGGGGGAUAACUACUGGAAACGGUGGCUAAUACCGCAUAACGUCGCAAGACCAAAGAGGGGGACCUUCGGGCCUCUUGCCAUCAGAUGUGCCCAGAUGGGAUUAGCUAGUUGGUGAGGUAACGGCUCACCAAGGCGACGAUCCCUAGCUGGUCUGAGAGGAUGACCAGCCACACUGGAACUGAGACACGGUCCAGACUCCUACGGGAGGCAGCAGUGGGGAAUAUUGCACAAUGGGCGCAAGCCUG